UUCACCUUAAAAUUCAUUUUUAUGCUGCACUGACUUGUAAUAGGGAGAAUGGUGUCUGGCAUUCUCACUGCGAGCCCC